rnacentral:rRNA from 1 species
UGGCGGACGGGUGAGUAACACGUGGGUAACCUGCCUAAAAGAAGGGGAUAACACUUGGAAAUAGGUGCUAAUACCGUAUAUCUCUAAGGAUCGCAUGAUCCUUAGAUGAAAGAUGGUUCUGCUAUCGCUUUUAGAUGGACCCGCGGCGUAUUAACUAGUUGGUGGGGUAACGGCCUACCAAGGUGAUGAUACGUAGCCGAACUGAGAGGUUGAUCGGCCACAUUGGGACUGAGACACGGCCCAAACUCCUACGGGAGGCAGCAGUAGGGAAUCUUCCACAAUGGACGCAAGUCUGAUGGAGCAACGCCGCGUGAGUGAAGAAGGUCUUCGGAUCGUAAAACUCUGUUGUUAGAGAAGAACACGAGUGAGAGUAACUGUUCAUUCGAUGACGGUAUCUAACCAGCAAGUCACGGCUAACUACGUGCCAGCAGCCGCGGUAAUACGUAGGUGGCAAGCGUUGUCCGGAUUUAUUGGGCGUAAAGGGAACGCAGGCGGUCUUUUAAGUCUGAUGUGAAAGCCUUCGGCUUAACCGGAGUAGUGCAUUGGAAACUGGAAGACUUGAGUGCAGAAGAGGAGAGUGGAACUCCAUGUGUAGCGGUGAAAUGCGUAGAUAUAUGGAAGAACACCAGUGGCGAAAGCGGCUCUCUGGUCUGUAACUGACGCUGAGGUUCGAAAGCGUGGGUAGCAAACAGG